UUCCUGUACCACCUCUUUAUCGUUUGAGCAAUGGAGGGACGCAGAAGGAUAGAAGAAGCGUGCGAUUGGUUGUGCACGUCCAAGCAGUUAGGCUGAUAAGUAGGCAAAUCCGCUUAUCGUGAAGGCUGAGCUGUGAUGGGGAAGCUCCUUAUGGAGCGAAGUCUUUGAUUCCCCGCUGCCAAGAAAAGCUUCUAGCGAGAUAAAAGGUGCCUGUACCGCAAACCGACACAGGUAGGCGAGGAGAGAAUCCUAAGGUGUGCGAGAGAACUCUGGUUAAGGAACUCGGCAAAAUGACCCCGUAACUUCGGGAGAAGGGGUGCUUUCUUAACGGAAAGCCGCAGUGAAUAGGCCCAAGCGACUGUUUAGCAAAAACACAGGUCUCUGCGAAGCCGUAAGGCGAAGUAUAGGGGCUGACACCUGCCCGGUGCUGGAAGGUUAAGGAGAGGGGUUAGCGUAAGCGAAGCUCUGAACUGAAGCCCCAGUAAACGGCGGCCGUAACUAUAACGGUCCUAAGGUAGCGAAAUUCCUUGUCGGGUAAGUUCCGACCCGCACGAAAGGUGUAACGAUUUGGGCACUGUCUCAACC
rnacentral:rRNA from 1 species